rnacentral:rRNA from 1 species
GUAGGGAAUAUUGGGCAAUGGAUGCAAGUCUGACCCAGCCAUCCCGCGUGCCGGAAGAAGGCCCUCAGGGUUGUACACGGCUUUUGACGGUGAAGAAUCGACAGGAUGCGUCCUGUUUUGACGGUAGCCGUUGAAUAAGCACCGGCUAACUCCGUGCCAGCAGCCGCGGUAAUACGGAGGGUGCGAGCGUUGUCCUGAUUUAUUGGGUUUAAAGGGUGCGUAGGCUGUAAGGUCAGUCAGCGGUGGAACGCUGUCGCUUAACGAUAGUCUUGCCGCAGAUACUUCCUUUCUUGGAUGAGGAGGAGGCCACUGGAACGGAUGGUGUAGCGGUGAAAUGCAUAGAUAUCAUCCAGAACACCGAUUGCGAAGGCAGGUGGCUGUACCUUAAUCGACGCUGAUGCACGAAAGCAUGGGGAGCAAACAGGAUUAGAAACCCCAGUAGUCC